ensembl:lncRNA novel transcript
ACCUGGCCAGUGCAGAGCCGUGGGUGCCACGUGGCCACUUCUGGAUUGGGUUCCCCUUGGCCUGCCACCCUGUCCUUCUGCUUUCCCACUUUGCCAGCCAGAGUCAAUUUGAGGACGCCAAGUUCUCCUCUCCAUACAGAGCUCCUGGUCUCCUUGUAACUUGUAACUCCUGGGCACAGUUACAAGUGCUGAAUUCUUGCGAGGAUGAACUCAAGAUACAAAAUAUGCUUGGCAACUCACCCCUGAGUGGCCACAGGCACACGCAGGAGUCGAACCCACCCACCUCUGCUGACAGUCAUGGGUCAAGCUCAAAGUCCUGGCUGCUUCUCUGCUCAAGAUCUGUGCCCGCAGAGAGAGCCUGCUCCAGCCUCUUUGCUACAGCCUUGAGUCUUCUGCUGGGUCCUUUCCAACCAAGAACCUAUGGGGUCUAGUCUUCCCCUACACUGCCUUUCACUCACCACUGGGCUGCCUGCUUUAAGCUAGGAAUCAAGAGACAGUGGCCUUCCACAGGUGCCUCGACAGGUGCCUCAGCUUCCAAACAGACACAGGAAGGACCCCAGCAUGGUAGCAUUCAUCUCAUUCACCUUUAUUGGGUUAAAAGUGUGUGAGACACAAAACUGAAACUUGAAAGUUAAGAAACUUGAAAGUUAAGUAACAGCUUUUCUCUGUCUUCGUAUUUUUCUCCCAAAUACAUGCAAUCUCUAGAGAACUUCAAGAAAACUUCCUCUCUAAGCAGCAGAGAAUAGCUUGCAGAAGAGGGAAAAAUUCAAGAUCUAUUGUAUUUUAUUGAUUUAUACCUGGUUUUGUUCCAAAAUUGUUGUUAGCUGCAUGCAUAAUUAACUCUACCACUGACUGCCGUGUAACUUACUCCAAGUUCUCUUUAUUGUAGUUUCAUGCACGGCCUUGGCAUAUCCAAAGAUUAAUGAAGAUGGAUCCAAAUCCUUACUACUAAGCAAAAAGCCUCCAAGCAAAUAACAAUGGACUGAAGAGUUACCUUUGUAGGCAUAAACGUAUCAUUACAAUUAAAGAGAUGUCAAAUGA